AAAUCCUUUCGUUUGAAAAAGAUGUUUGAAAUUCCAGGAAGACAUGUCAUUGACAAUGGAAAUGAUGGAGGGUGUGUUGUUGAUGUAAAGGUACAAUCAAGAAAUCGUACGCCUAAGCAGGUGGGUGAAUGUAUUCUUGAUGGCCAACAGAUAGGAAGUCCUCUUAAUCUUUCCGGUUCUGAUAUCGCUGGAGCUAAAAUGCCAAGUCCUCGACAAAAGGGUCCCUCUGAAUUGGAGUUGAUGAAGGAAAGGUUUGCUAAGUUGCUUUUGGGUGAAGAUAUGUCAGGUGGUGGAAAAGGUGUUUCCUCCGCCUUGGCUUUGUCCAAUGCAAUCACAAACCUAGCUGCAUCCGUUUUUGGAGAACAAAAGAGAUUAGAACCUAUGAACCCAGAGAGGAAAACAAGGUGGAGGAAAGAAAUUGAUUGGCUUCUAUCCGUAACUGAUCACAUUGUUGAAUUUGUUCCUUCACAGCAAUCCAAGGAUGGAAUCAAUAUGGAGAUAAUGGUGACAAGGCAAAGAAGUGAUCUGCUAAUGAACAUUCCUGCUCUGCGCAAGCUUGAUAACAUUCUCGUUGAGCAAUUAGAUCAGUUUGGAAACCAGAAUGAAUUCUGGUAUGUGUCACGAGAUAAGGUGGAUUCAGAGCAAGGAACCCCACCAAGAAAUGAUGACAAAUGGUGGAUUCCAACUGUUAAGGUUCCGCCAGAGGGGCUAUCGGAAGUAACACGAAGAAGGCUGCAAUCCCAGAAAGAUUCUGUGAAUCAAGUACUUAAAGCAGCCAUGGCAAUAAAUGCUCAGGUGCUAUCAGAAAUGGAGGUCCCUGAAAACUACAUCGAGUCCCUUCCCAAGGUACCAUGACACAAAAACACACCAAAAAUUCCAUCAUUUCCUCUGAAAGAAAGAGCCUUCUUAUUAACUUCCACCCUCACGUUGUCUAUAGAAUGGAAGAGCAAGCCUUGGAGAUUCUAUCUAUAAGAGCAUAACAGUAGAGUUCUUUGAUCCUGAGCAAUUCCUGUCAACCAUGGACUUGUCAACCGAGCACAAAGUGCUUGAUAUCAAGAACAGGAUCGAGGCUUCUAUUGUGAUUUGGAAGAGAAAGAUGCACCAAAAGGAUGGAAAGUCUUCCUGGAGUUCAGGGGUGAGCUUAGAGAAAAGGGAACUCUUCGAAGAGAGGGCAGAAACCAUAUUAAUCAUCCUCAAACAACGAUUCCCAGGAAUUCCACAAUCUGCCCUAGAUAUAAGCAAGAUCCAAUACAAUGAGGACGUUGGACAGGCCAUUUUAGAAAGCUAUUCAAGAAUAAUAGAAAGCUUGGCAUUCACAGUCCUGUCUAGGAUUGAGGAUGUUCUGUACGCUGCCUCCCUCACACAAACUCCAGAGUCCGAUGAGAGCGAGAAGCCAGAGGAAGAAACAGGUAGGUUAAGCCCGGCAGAGGCACAGACACCAACAUCACUGACACUCUCAGAUUUCAUGGGAUGGGGUGGAGACGCCAACACCAAGAAAAAUAACUCGUACAAUACAGAAAGCUACUUCAAGGGCGAACAUGAUCAUAAGAUGAUGCUCAAACCCCUUGCGACCAAGAGAUUUUCCUACUUGGAGAAGCUUGAGAGCUUAAGUGGAUUAAGAAGUCCAGCAGCUCGGCAUUAAACAUCAUCAAUGAAUAUGGAAGACAAUGAGAAAAAGAAGAAAUAUGGAAAGACAAAAGAGAGGAAGAGAUACAAAGAAGAACAUAGAAACAAGUAGUCAGAGACCUUGAUUUAUCAAAUGUAGAUAACAAACAACCUGGUAGGAGCCUGUCGGGUUAGUAGUUGCUAUAUUGUUCUUCCUCAAAAUACAGGAUAGGGAAGUCUCAAUAUGUAACUAUAAAGUUUGAUGCACUUGAAAUG
rnacentral:misc_RNA from 1 species